UAUGUCUCACGUUGAUGCCCGUGUAAUUGUCCUCUUGAAAUUGCUGCUUCAGUAUUUUAUUUGGAGAUCGUCAUAUGUCAUAAGCACUUUCAGACACAGAAAUCAUAUGGUCCUUCAUAACCAUCACUUUCGUAUAUAAUCACCCUAUAUAGUUAGCCUAUUACCCGCAGCACUCAAGUCUCUAGUUGUCUUCUAAUUGAGUGUGAUAAAAUAUUUAUGCUCUUACAAGAAACCACAUCAUAAAUGCCAUAUUGAGUUAUAAGGCGUAUUCAUGUUGGAGUAGCACGCAUGCAGCUAGUAAUUUUCAAACUUUUUCUUGAUGGCUCAUAAAGUUAUUAUAGUUAUUUCAAGCUCUGUAUAGAAUGUAAACUUAACAUAAGAUUUUCGACAUAUAUCUAUACAGUUGAUCACUUUCUGUGUUCCUAUGUUUUAUUGCUUCAAGUCAUUAUCCCAAUUUGUCGAUGUAUACUUUUAGGCAGCCUUGCGGCUCCAUGAGUAUUGUUACUGACAUUUUGUUUAAAUAGCUCAAGUACUGGUAUUAAGAGGAUUUAAACCCUUGGUUGUUCCCAGCUCAAGACUAAGUUGCUUAGUUUGGUAAAACCUCUAAUGUUGGAUGAAUACAGGGAAUACCGGGAGCAUGUGAAGGAUCUCUCUGGCCUAGCGAAGGAUAUGAGCCGAAUUGUUAUUGUCGACAACAACCCUUUCAGUUUUUUGUUGCAACCUUUGAAUGGAAUUCCAUGCAUUCCAUUUUCUGCUGGGCAAACACACGACACACAGCUUUUGGAUGUUCUUCUUCCACUCCUCAAGCACCUCUCACUGCAGAAAGAUGUAAGGCCUGUGCUUUAUGAAAGGUUUCACAUGCUUGAAUGGUUUCAAAAGCAGGGGAUUCCUUCAACAAGUUGGAAAUAGUAGGAUUUUCAAUAAUUAUAUGCAAUGGAAUUCCCAUUCUUCUUUCGUGCAAAUCCUCAACCGUUGCUUAGUUCAAGCCUCAAGGGAGUGUCUGUACAGCUUCAGUGUGUGCACUGCAAUUUGUUGAUACAAGGCUGUGUUUUGACCAGAGUUCCAAGUGCUUCAUCUCACUAUCAUACGAAAACCAUUUAUGUAUCUAGAUUUGUUUACUAUGAUUUUUGUGUAACUUUGUCUAUAUUGUUUGCUGUUCUCUUCAAUCCCUUAUGUAAUUUGUUAGGAUUUUUUGAAAUUGUUGCCAAUAAUUAUUAGCAGUUUAUACGUUUCUCAUCGUGCUUGUGUUUUAUAUGCUGCUGAUAUGAAAUCAAAAGAGUCAGAACUCAACGGAAUGCCAUC